rnacentral:rRNA from 1 species
GAUGAACGCUGGCGGCGUGCCUAAUACAUGCAAGUCGAGCGAAUCGAGGACGCGUAAGUAACACGUGGAUACCCUCCUAUAAGCCUCGCGUAACUUCGUGAAACCUGAGCUAAACCCGAUACUUAUAGAUCUAUCCUCUCUGCAUUAGCUAGGUUCUAAGGUAACGGCUUACCAAGGCAACGAUGCGUAGCCGACCGGAGAGGGUGAUCAGCCACACUGGAACUGAGACACGGUCCAGACUCCAACGGUAGGCAGCAGUAGGGAAUAUUGGGCAAUGGGCGAAAGCCUGAUGGAGCAAUGCCGCGUGAGUGAUGAAGGUCUUCGGAUCGUAAAACACUGUUAGUUGGGAAGCGGUACCUACUCAGAAAGCAACGGCUAACUACGUGCCAGCAGCCGCGGUAAUAC